rnacentral:rRNA from 1 species
UACAGAGGUCCCAAGCGUUGUUCGGAUUCACUGGGCGUAAAGGGUGCGUAGGUGGCGAGGUAAGUCGGAUGUGAAAUCUCCGAGCUCAACUCGGAAACUGCAUUGGAAACUACCUUGCUCGAGGGUUGGAGGGGGGACUGGAAUGCUUGGUGUAGCAGUGAAAUGCGUAGAUAUCAAGCGGAACACCAGUGGCGAAGGCGAGUCCCUGGACAACUCCUGACACUGAUGCACGAAAGCUAGGGGAGCAAACAGG